GGGUGGCGGGGAACGGGCCGGCGGCGAAGCGCAGGGGCGGCCGGCGGUGCGGAGUGGUGCCGUCCAGUGAAGUGCACGCACACGGGAGCAAGAAAGCUGACAUGGCGGGGGGGAAAGAGAAUAGGGGCUCCCCCUACGGACCCCUGGGAUUGGGGGCUUGGGGUGUUCUUUUAGGGGCGGGAUGUACGUAGGGGCUCUGUUGUAGAUGUUUUUUUUUUUCCUCUGGUCCCUAAAGGGAGAUAGGACCCUGUUUAGGGGUCCUGCUGAAGAUGCUCUAAUACUGCUAUCUACACAUGGUAUGUGUCCUCACAAAAUUGCCAA
rnacentral:lncRNA from 1 species